rnacentral:rRNA from 1 species
GUGCCAGCAGCCGCGGUAAUACGUAGGUGGCAAGCGUUGUCCGGAAUUAUUGGGCGUAAAGCGCGCGCAGGCGGUCCUUUAAGUCUGAUGUGAAAGCCCAUGGCUCAACCGUGGAGGGUCAUUGGAAACUGGGGGGACUUGAGUACAGAAGAGAAGAGUGGAAUUCCACGUGUAGCGGUGAAAUGCGUAGAGAUGUGGAGGAACACCAGUGGNGAAGGCGACUCUUUGGUCUGUAACUGACGCUGAGGCGCGAAAGCGUGGGGAGCAAAC